AUUGAACGCUGGCGGCAUGCCUUACACAUGCAAGUCGAACGGUAACAGGUUAAGCUGACGAGUGGCGAACGGGUGAGUAAUGCAUCGGAACGUGCCCGGUCGUGGGGGAUAACGCAGCGAAAGCUGCGCUAAUACCGCAUACGAUCUGAGGAUGAAAGCGGGGGACCGUAAGGCCUCGCGCGAUCGGAGCGGCCGAUGUCAGAUUAGGUAGUUGGUGGGGUAAAGGCUAACCAAGCCGACGAUCUGUAGCUGGUCUGAGAGGACGACCAGCCACACUGGGACUGAGACACGGCCCAGACUCCUACGGGAGGCAGCAGUGGGGAAUUUUGGACAAUGGGCGCAAGCCUGAUCCAGCAAUGCCGCGUGCAGGAAGAAGGCCUUCGGGUUGUAAACUGCUUUUGUACGGAGCGAAAAGGUCUUCCCUAAUACGGGAGGCUGAUGACGGUACCGUAAGAAUAAGCACCGGCUAACUACGUGCCAGCAGCCGCCGUAACAC
rnacentral:rRNA from 1 species